UACGUAGGGUGCGAGCGUUGUCCGGAAUUAUUGGGCGUAAAGAGCUUGUAGGCGGUCUGUCGCGUCUGCUGUGAAAAUCCGGGGCUCAACCCCGAACUUGCAGUGGGUACGGGCAGACUAGAGUGUGGUAGGGGAGACUGGAAUUCCUGGUGUAGCGGUGAAAUGCGCAGAUAUCAGGAGGAACACCGAUGGCGAAGGCAGGUCUCUGGGCCAUAACUGACGCUGAGAAGCGAAAGCAUGGGGAGCGAACAGG
rnacentral:rRNA from 1 species